rnacentral:rRNA from 1 species
GAUGAACGCUGGCGGCGUGCCUAAUACAUGCAAGUCGAGCGAACGGACGAGAAGCUUGCUUCUCUGAUGUUAGCGGCGGACGGGUGAGUAACACGUGGAUAACCUACCUAUAAGACUGGGAUAACUUCGGGAAACCGGAGCUAAUACCGGAUAAUAUUUUGAACCGCAUGGUUCAAAAGUGAAAGACGGUCUUGCUGUCACUUAUAGAUGGAUCCGCGCUGCAUUAGCUAGUUGGUAAGGUAACGGCUUACCAAGGCAACGAUGCAUAGCCGACCUGAGAGGGUGAUCGGCCACACUGGAACUGAGACACGGUCCAGACUCCUACGGGAGGCAGCAGUAGGGAAUCUUCCGCAAUGGGCGAAAGCCUGACGGAGCAACGCCGCGUGAGUGGUGAAGGUCUUCGGAUCGUAAAACUCUGUUAUUAGGGAAGAACAUAUGUGUAAGUAACUGUGCACAUCUUGACGGUACCUAAUCAGAAAGCCACGGCUAACUACGUGCCAGCAGCCGCGGUAAUACGUAGGUGGCAAGCGUUAUCCGGAAUUAUUGGGCGUAAAGCGCGCGUAGGCGGUUUUUUAAGUCUGAUGUGAAAGCCCACGGCUCAACCGUGGAGGGUCAUUGGAAACUGGAAAACUUGAGUGCAGAAGAGGAAAGUGGAAUUCCAUGUGUAGCGGUGAAAUGCGCAGAGAUAUGGAGGAACACCAGUGGCGAAGGCGACUUUCUGGUCUGUAACUGACGCUGAUGUGCGAAAGCGUGGGGAUCAAACAGGAUUAGAUACCCUGGUAGUCCACGCCGUAAACGAUGAGUGCUAAGUGUUAGGGGGUUUCCGCCCCUUAGUGCUGCAGCUAACGCAUUAAGCACUCCGCCUGGGGAGUACGACCGCAAGGUUGAAACUCAAAGGAAUUGACGGGGACCCGCACAAGCGGUGGAGCAUGUGGUUUAAUUCGAAGCAACGCGAAGAACCUUACCAAAUCUUGACAUCCUUUGACAACUCUAGAGAUAGAGCCUUCCCCUUCGGGGGACAAAGUGACAGGUGGUGCAUGGUUGUCGUCAGCUCGUGUCGUGAGAUGUUGGGUUAAGUCCCGCAACGAGCGCAACCCUUAAGCUUAGUUGCCAUCAUUAAGUUGGGCACUCUAAGUUGACUGCCGGUGACAAACCGGAGGAAGGUGGGGAUGACGUCAAAUCAUCAUGCCCCUUAUGAUUUGGGCUACACACGUGCUACAAUGGACAAUACAAAGGGCAGCGAAACCGCGAGGUCAAGCAAAUCCCAUAAAGUUGUUCUCAGUUCGGAUUGUAGUCUGCAACUCGACUACAUGAAGCUGGAAUCGCUAGUAAUCGUAGAUCAGCAUGCUACGGUGAAUACGUUCCCGGGUCU